rnacentral:lncRNA from 1 species
CUGCUUUCUACCUGUCUACUCAUUUACCUUUUAGACCUAAAACUGAACUGGAAUUGUAUUCUCCUCCUUCUUUCUUUCAAAGUACUGGACAUUCAUUCAGAUUGGACACAACGUUGAAGACCAAGAUGUUUUAUCCUGAAACAACUGUUGAAGGCCAGAAUGCACAGGGGCCUAACCGGACUAAUGAGAGUGUCUUCCCCAAACAAAAGUGAUCUUUCUGCCUCUAUGGCAGUGGAGACCAAGCAAGCUGGCAGUCUUACAGCACUUAUAAGUAACAGUAUACACACUGAAAAACAGUGUGAGUUGUGGAAGUCUGCCCCAGGACUCAUUGAGCAAGUCACAAUACUCGGAAGUGACACAGGCACAUUAUACACUGCUGAGCACUGGAAAUACCUGCAAGCACUUCUGGGAAUACUUCAGAAGCUUCCACCACUGUUCUGUUUUUUUAAUCAGAAAUAUCCUUCCUACUAUAUUGGAUAUAUCUUCAAAACUCUACUCAAGAAUUACUUCUGGUGUGAAGCUGUCCAUGAAUGAGACUACUUGGCUACCUGUGUCUAAUUGUAUUUAGGUAAGUAUAUUUCUUCCUGUUAUCAUUGUUGACUUAUCUGUGUCUUCACAUGUUCAUAUACUUUUUUUAAUUUUUUAUUUUUUAUAAACAUAUAUUUUUAUCCCCAGGGGUACAGGUCUGUGAAUCACCAGGUUUCCACACUUCACAGCACUCACCAAAGCACAUACCCUCCCCAAUGUCCAUAAUCCCACCCCCUUCUCCCAAACCCCCCCCCCCAGCAACCCUCAGUUUGUUUUGUGAGAUUAAGAGUCAUUUAUGGUUUGUCUCCCUCCCAAUCCCAUCUUCUUUCAUUGAUUCUUCUCCUACCCACUUAAGCCCCCAUGUUGCAUCACCACUUCCUCAUAUCAGGGAGAUCAUAUGAUAGUUGUCUUUCUCUGCUUGACUUAUUUCGCUAAGCAUGAUACGCUCUAGUUCCAUCCAUGUUGUCGCAAAUGGCAAGAUUUCAUUUCUUUUGAUGGCUGCAUAGUAUUCCAUUGUGUAUAUAUACCACCUCUUCUUUAUCCAUUCAUCUGUUGAUGGACAUCUAGGUUCUUUCCAUAGUUUGGCUAUUGUGGACAUUGCUGCUAUAAACAUUCAGGUGCAUGUGCCCCUUUGGAUCACUACAUUUGUAUCUUUAGGGUAAAUACCCAAUAGUGCAAUGCUGGGUUAUAGGGCAGUUCUAUUUUCAACAUUUUGAGGAACCUCCAUGCUGUUUUCCAGAGUGGCUGCACCAGCUUGCAUUCCCACCAACAGUGUAGGAGGGUUCCCCUUUCUCCGCAUCCUCGCCAGCAUCUGUCAUUUCCUGACUUGUUGAUUUUAGCCAUUCUGACUGGUGUGAGGUGAUAUCUCAUUGUGGUUUUGAUUUGUAUUUCCCUGAUGCCGAGUGAUAUGGAGCACUUUUUCAUGUGUCUGUUGGCCAUCUGGAUGUCUUCUUUGCAGAAAUAUCUGUUCAUGUCCUCUGCCCAUUUCUUGAUUGGAUUAUUUGUUCUUUGGGUGUUGAGUUUGCUAAGUUCUUUAUAGAUUCAGGACACUAGUCCUUUAUCUGAUAUGUCAUUUGCAAAUAUCUUCUCCCAUUCUGUCAGUUGUCUUUUGAUUUUGUUAACUGUUUCCUUUGCUGUGCAAAAGCUUUUGAUCUUUGACCUCAGCCGCAGCAACAUCUUCCUAGGAACAACGCCAAAGGCAAGGGAAGCAAGGGCAAAAAUGAACUAUUGGGAUUUCAUCAAGAUCACAUGUUCAUAUUUUGAAGUCUUUCCCCCUAACCCACUAAAAAGUAAGAAUAUUCCCUUUUGUUUCCUUUCUCUCCAUGCGGUAACUGGCCAUAAGAUAUAUACUCUAUCCAUGAUUAUUUAUGGCCAGAGAAGUCCCUUGUACAGAGUUCUUUGGAUCUGACCACCCCUGAAGACAUAGAGUAAUUUAUACAAUGGUUUAUGAAGAAAACUGCAGCUUGGCUUUUUGGGUUUUUUUUUUUUUUUUUUUAGGUUGGGGGUUUUUUUUUUUUUUUUUCCCGUGGCUGAAGAGGCAGGAAAUUGAGCAGCAGGGGCCUAACUCUUAUGGAAACUCCACCCUGUGUACUGGCAUGAUGGUAAUUUUGCCAAGUCUACUUUCUGGGACUAGCCCAAACCUGUCAAGUUCUCACUUGAAAAACUUGCAGAUGCAUCCACCACAUAUUUAUGAACUCACAUUCAUAUGCAAAGAAGUUGCUACUGAGAUGAGACACCUCAUCAGGAAGGCUUACAACUGAGUUGUUUUUAUGAUGACAGAUUUACUCGGAUUUGCCUUCAGCCUCUCAUCUGGUCCUCCAGGACCAUGGCCAUACAUGUGCAGAGUACCUGUCUGGGUUCCGAAAACAGUCUGGCCCUCAGGACAUGUACGCUGUCACCUACAUGUCAAAACUAUAACCUAGGCCUCACUAACACAAUCCAGUCUCCUGAGCUAAACAACCACAGGUAUGCAAACCCAGUGGGCUUUGGAAGUGAAACAGGUGCACAUGCAUUGUGGUAAGGAUUUCCAUUGUGCUCAGAGCUAAAAAUUUAGAUGCAGUCAUUAAAUAUUUGAGCUAGGAGGAGUCACUGAAACCACCCACACACAAAAUAAAUAGGUCAAUACAUAAUCCAGACAGACCAGAAGAGAAUUUUUUUAAAAAAGGGAAAAUUUGUCAAGAAAUGUGUUUAGUAGGAAGAUGAGUUCGGCAGCAAGGACUGUGUGUGAUUUGAGAAAAGCUAAGCAGCAAUUUCUGGGUUUUGUCCUAAGGACAGGAUCUAGUCUGAUCCAGUAAAGCUAUGAAGGUCUUUCCCACAGAGGUGAGAAAAUACAAUUUUUGACCCUAAUUCCAAUUCUUUGAUUCAGGGUAAAAGAAAUACUAAAUACUAAAAGAAAUGCCACCAAAUUAUAAUCAUAAUUUUCUUCUCAAGUGAGUUGACUCCAAUUGACAUUUAUCAGCUUAUAGGUCAGCACAAAUGUUUUUAUAAUGAGCCAUAAAAGGAGGAAAGUAUAGUCUAGACCGGCACUCAAAAAGCCUGCUGCUUUCUUUCAGCAACUCAACGGAGUCUGACUCACAAUAACUGACUGGCCCAAACUGAUAAUAUCAGGUCCCUGACAUGCUAAGGGGGCAGGAUCUUACUUUUGAAGUGGUGUAAGUUCUUGUAACAAUGAGCAAUGUGUACUUCAGGGCUGGGUGGUCUGGGCCACUGAGUGGCUCCCACAGAAUUGCUUGUGCCUUUCACUCUAU